UACAGAGGGGGCAAGCGUUGUUCGGAAUUACUGGGCGUAAAGUGUGCGCAGGCGGCCGCGCAAGUCGAGUGUGAAAGCCCCGGGCUUAACUUGGGAAUUGCGCUCGAAACUACGUGGCUGGAGUAUGGCAGAGGAAGGUGGAAUUCCACGUGUAGCGGUGAAAUGCGUAGAGAUGUGGAGGAACACCGAUGGCGAAGGCAGCCUUCUGGGCCAAUACUGACGCUCAUGCACGAAAGCGUGGGGAGCAAACAGG
rnacentral:rRNA from 1 species